rnacentral:rRNA from 1 species
AGGCAGCAGUGGGGAAUAUUGGACAAUGGGGGCAACCCUGAUCCAGCCAUGCCGCGUGUGUGAAGAAGCCUUCGGGUUGUAAAGCACUUUAAGCGAGGAGGAAGGUCUUUGAACUAAUAUUUCAAAGAAUUGACGUUACUCGCAGAAUAAGCACCGGCUAACUCUGUGCCAGCAGCCGCGGUAAUACAGAGGGUGCAAGCGUUAAUCGGAAUUACUGGGCGUAAAGCGCGCGUAGGCGGUAUGUUAAGUCGGAUGUGAAAUCCCCUGGGCUCAACCUAGGCAUUGCAUCCGAUACUGGCACACUAGAGUGUGGGAGAGGAAGGUAGAAUUCCAGGUGUAGCGGUGAAAUGCGUAGAGAUCUGGAGGAAUACCGAUGGCGAAGGCAGCCUUCUGGCCUAACACUGACGCUGAGGUGCGAAAGCAUGGGGAGCAAACAGGAUUAGAUACCCUGGUAGUCCAUGCCGUAAACGAUGUCAACUAGCCGUUGGGCUCCUUGAGGGCUUAGUGGCGCAGCUAACGCGAUAAGUUGACCGCCUGGGGAGUACGGUCGCAAGACUAAAACUCAAAUGAAUUGACGGGGGC